UUUCUGGUUCCAUUGGCAUUGUGGUCUUCAUCUUGCUCCUAGUGGGUCUCUUGUCUGUGACCUUGAAGAAAUGGAGGCACGAGAGACUGUUUAAGAAACAACUGAGACAUCAGACCAAUUUUCUCCACAACUCCUCGGACCUUUCCUGCCCAG